CAGCACUGUGCGUGACCUGUGGCUGACGGGUUCCAUUCCAGUGCGACAGCAGCCCCACGGCCAGACACUGUCUGAUGGUGGCUGUCAGUUUCAGGUCUUGGAGACAACC